CCUACGGGAGGCAGCAGUGAGGAAUAUUGGUCAAUGGACGAGAGUCUGAACCAGCCAAGUAGCGUGAAGGAUGACUGCCCUAUGGGUUGUAAACUUCUUUUAUAUGGGAAUAAAACGUUCCACGUGUGGGAUUUUGUAUGUACCAUAUGAAUAAGGAUCGGCUAACUCCGUGCCAGCAGCCGCGGUAAUACGGAGGAUCCGAGCGUUAUCCGGAUUUAUUGGGGUUAAAGGGAGCGUAAGUGGAUUGUUAAGUCAGUUGUGAAAGUUUGCGGCUCAACCGUAAAAUUGCAGUUGAAACUGGCAGUCUUGAGUACAGUAGAGGUGGGCGGAAUUCGUGGUGUAGCGGUGAAAUGCUUAGAUAUCACGAAGAACUCCGAUUGCGAAGGCAGUUCACUGGACUGCAACUGACACUGAGGCUCGAAAGUGUGGGUAUCAAACAGGAUUAGAUACCCUUGUAGUC
rnacentral:rRNA from 1 species